UAGAGUUUUAUCUGGCUCAGAACGAACGCUGGCGGCGUGCCAACACAUCAAGUCGAGCGCGAAUAGGGGCAACCCUAGUAGAGCGGCGCACGGGUGCGUAACACGUGGAUAAUCUGCCUGAGUGCUCGGGAUAACCAGUCGAAAGAUUGUAAUACCGGAUAAGCCCACGGUUUCUUCGGAGACUGAGGGAAAAGGUGGCUCUGUAUACAAGCUAUCACAUUCAGAGAGUCCGCGGCCCAUCAGCUAGUUGGCGGGGUAAUGGCCCACCAAGGCAACGACGGGUAGCUGGUCUGAGAGGACGAUCAGCCACACUGGAACUGAGACACGGUCCAGACUCCUACGGGAGGCAGCAGUGGGGAAUUUUGCGCAAUGGGCGAAAGCCUGACGCAGCAACGCCGCGUGUGUGAUGAAGGUCUUUGGAUUGUAAAGCACUUUCGACCGGGAAGAAAACCCGUUGGCUAACAUCCAAC
rnacentral:rRNA from 1 species